UGAAGGUGAAGCGGGGGAGAAUGGCGGUGGUGGGGAGGAAGAGGGAAAAGUUGUGGAGGUGAAGAAGAUAGAGAAUCCAUAUUUCUACUAUCAUUAUCAGCCGCCGCGUGUGGCAAUGCCGCCUUAUGCUUAUCCUCAUGCUUAUCCACCCCAUGCAUAUCCUCCUCAAGCAUAUCCUCCCCAUGCAUAUCCUCAUGCAUAUCCUUCUAAUGCAUAUCCUCCUAAUGCAUAUCCCCCUCAGAUAUUCAGCGACGAGAAUCCAAACGCAUGUUCC
rnacentral:lncRNA from 1 species